AGUUGGUGAAGGUGCGUUGACCGUGACCGCGCCAUUCAUGUGUUAAUUGAGGAAAAUAUCGCACGAUGUGCGAAGAUUCCUGUUAGUGCUUUAAUUUAGACGCCAUCUGGUGUUGUUUCAAGAGGAUUUUUCAGAAAAAUGUGGCCAUUGUCUCUUCACUUUCUUCCCACUGGCUUUCGGGUGAGUGACUUUGAAUUCCAUCAUCAUCUUUUCGAGGUUUGUGCGUAAGUGAGCUUUUGGAAAAAAUACCUAUUCAAAGCUGCAUCAUAAUGGAACGUAAUAAGAUGGUUAUUCUGUUUUCUUCUCGUAUGAUCAUCGAUGGGUCAUUACAUUGGAGCUUUAUGACCGGAGGGAACUCGGACUAGUGCUUUAUUGUUCCAUAUGUAGAUCGGAAUUCGUGUUUCACUCACGCAAGAAAUGAUACGUGUGAAACAGAAAGUGGUAUCGCGGUCUAAUAACAGCCUCGGCGUCGUGAAUCGCCCAUUAUGUCCGAAAGCGAUACUUAAUGAAAUUAUGACAGCAACGAGAUUGAAAGCGCACGAAAAUAAAUACGUCACGGCCAUAUGGCCGCACUCCGCCAUCGUAUGAAUAUUCAGCGGACUUAGCACUAAACAAUCGACACAGAUGACGCUUAUUUUACGGCCAGCCGCAGAGAAAGUCAAAAGGAGGGAAAAGCGACUCCGCAGGAGCAGGAAAUAUUACGCCAUUGAGGUGCGCAAACAUCGCUCGCCGGAAUCUAUGACUGCAUUAAAGUUGUGACGGAAAAGGUUGCAUAAUUAGAGUUCGAAGUGCACAUCUCUUAAGGGAAAAUAUGGCAUUGUGCGGCUGUCCGCACUCGACAACUUCGCCAUUGUUUGACCACACAAGUUGCACCUGAACCACUUACGACGGCCGGACGAGGAAGAAACGAGAUUACACAAGUCCUUUCAGUUCUUUCUUUCAACACCCGACACAGCCGUCUCGUCAAUUUGCUACUGUGAUUUAUUAAAUCGGGUUUUUGUUGGGGAUCGGGAGGAUUCAGCGUACUGACAUUUGAUUAAAUGGAUUGACGAGCAGAUAGGGAAAUGAGCAGAUGGAUGCCUUCAUGUGCAGUUAUGCCAACAUGCAACAACCAAUAAAAGAACACAAGAACAGGGGGGCCAAUUUCAACCACCCAACGGCAAGGAAGUAAACAAUUUUCAAUACAG